rnacentral:piRNA from 1 species
UACACUGUCGUGCUCCUGUACC